rnacentral:rRNA from 1 species
UACGGGGGGGGGCAAGCGUUGUUCGGAAUUACUGGGCGUAAAGGGCUCGUAGGCGGCCAACUAAGUCAGACGUGAAAUCCCUCGGCUUAACCGGGGGAACUGCGUCUGAUACUGGAUGGCUUGAAUCCGGGAGAGGGAUGCGGAAUUCCAGGUGUAGCGGUGAAAUGCGUAGAUAUCUGGAGGAACACCGGUGGCGAAGGCGGCAUCCUGGACCGGCAUUGACGCUGAGGAGCGAAAGCGUGGGGAGCGAACAGG